GAUUAAAUGGCUGAUAAAAGUGGUAGAUUGUAAAUCUAUAUAUGAAAUGAUAUGUUUCUUUAAUCA
rnacentral:tRNA from 1 species